rnacentral:rRNA from 1 species
UUGCCCGCGCCAUCGCGGUUAUACUCACAAAAGUAGAUUAAGUUUUGGCAAGGAAUGGUUAAGUUAAAAAAAUUGCUUCGUAAUUGGUUAAAUGAUGCGUGGCUUCAUGUCUAUAUUUUAAUGUUUUUGCAGUCUUAGAAAAAGCUAGGACUAAAACCAGGAUUAGAUACCCUGUUAUUCCUAGUCCUAAGUUUUAUCUUUGUUGGGUAGUAAAAGUAAGCUUCAAACCCAAAAAGUUUGGCAGUUCUCUUUCUCAUUAGGGGAACCUGUUUCUUGAUUUGAUAUUACACACAAAAGAAACUCAGCCUUGGAAAAUUUUUUCAGCUAAUAUAUCGUUGUCCAUUAAUUCUUUGAAAAAAGAAUUAUAGGCGAAAAACGCUUGAAUGCAAAUCGAGAUAUUGCCAAUGGCUGAGGGUUUAAUGGGUUACUAUUAGAUAUUUAUAAAGGGUCUCUGGGCUAAAGCUCAGGGAAAAAUAGGACUUAAUUGUAAGGUUGUUUAAGGAAGAUAGCCUGACUGUGUUUUUAGGGCGUGCACAUAUCGCCCGUCACUCUCGCCUGCAGGGGAGAUAAGUCGUAACAAGUAG